GCGAAUAUUUUGCGUAGGUGUUACACAGUAAAACUUGUUCAUCGGCGUCUCAUACGUAUUAAAUAUAAAAUAUAGUGAUACAUCGGCUAAUUUAGUGAGGCGACAACAGAUUUAAGAGACCAGAGAAGGCAACGAUUUCAUCUAAAUUCAACCACCGUGACACAGAUACCAACUAUUGAUGAGUCUUAAAUUUAAUGUCAUAUGGAGUUUAUCUUAUCUAUUAUUAAAGUAAGCAAUGCUAGCGAUUUUGCUUAUCCUAAAAGAGGUGGGCCUAAUUAAUGAUUCGGUGCGAAUUCCGUCAUUAACAAGUGGGCAUGGGUAGAUUGACUCGGUCUAUAUUCCAAUCGUCUACUUCUUCCCCAUCCAUUUCACACCCGGGCAUCCGCUUCUCCCUCCCUCUGCACCUGUUCGCGCCACCCGACUAUCGCGCCAUCAUCCACCUCUCCAACCUCCGUACCCGUCCA
rnacentral:lncRNA from 1 species